rnacentral:rRNA from 1 species
AGGACGAACGCUGGCGGCGUGCUUAACACAUGCAAGUCGAGCGAGGUCCAACUGGUGGCAACACCAGGGAAGACCGAGCGGCGAACGGGUGAGUAACACGUGAGCAACCUGUCCCGAAGACCGGGAUAACACCGGGAAACCGGUGCUAAUACCGGAUGUCCCCACCAGAUCACAUGGUUCGGUGAGGAAAUGGAUUCCGCUUCGGGAGGGGCUCGCGGGCUAUCAGCUUGUUGGUUGGGUAACGGCCCACCAAGGCUACGACGGCUAGCUGGUCUGAGAGGACGACCAGCCACACUGGGACUGAGACACGGCCCAGACUCCUACGGGAGGCAGCAGUGGGGAAUCUUGCGCAAUGGGCGAAAGCCUGACGCAGCAACGCCGCGUGGGGAUGAAGGCUCUCGGGUUGUAAACCCCUUUUAGUAGGGAAGAAGCGAAAGUGACGGUACCUGCAGAAAAGCACCGGCUAACUACGUGCCAGCAGCCGC